AAUCAUUAAAUCAUUCUCGUGCAUCCUGUGUACUAUAAGAUAACAAUUUUGGAGAGAUCUUCGUUUUGCAUAAAUACUGCGGAGUUUGGUUCUGGUUGUAGUUUCGUAGGUUGUAGGUUCUGGUUAGUUUCUGUACACAUUUGCAAAACAAUUUGAUAGUCUGGAAAAUUCGACACUAAAACACUUGAUAAGAUAUUACAAAUAAAUAUGACGCCCAGCUCGCUUUUCCGUGUGACAACUUUCUGUCUCUUAUUUUGUGGGAUUGCAGUUUACUCAGUUUUUGGAUUCGGACUUGCUUGCUACAGACAAAACGAUUAUGUGAACGGGUUCAUUGCCAACUACACAACGAUUGGAAAUCGAACAUUUGCACCCACCGAUUACGUGAGGUCGGCCCGAUGGAGACAAAACAAUGAAGGAGCUUGUGUCAAGCUUUGCAAUGGAACGAUCCAAUUGGCAGCUACUUGUGGAAACAGUUUGGAUUGGGCACCAAUUAAUAAUACCAACGCGACCAAAGUCAUGAUUUAUAAUAGUUCAAUCAAUCCAUUCUGCUAAAUGAGAAUUUUAAGAUAUAUUUUGCAUAUGCUCAAACCUACAAGGCUUGUACAUAAUAAAGAAAUUUUCACCUACUUCCAUUUGAGCGAAACUUUCUGCAUGAACUUGCAAAAAUUUUGCAGAUUCAAAAUGCUAAUUUCAAUUGAUGCAUAAUCAUCCCACAAGAAUUGUUAUUAUGUUUACUAAAUAAGAAGAAAAAUAAUUAAUUUCCAAUAGUUUUGCAAACGUAAA